rnacentral:rRNA from 1 species
UACGGAAUGUGCAAACGUUAUUCGGAAUCACUGGGCUUAAAGAGUCCGUAGGCGGCUUGUUAGGUGAGGUGUGAAAUCCCUCGGCCCAACCGAGGAAUUGCGCUUCAAACCGGCAAGCUUGAGGAGGAUAGAGGUGGGCGGAACUGAUGGUGGAGCGGUGAAAUGCGUUGAUAUCAUCAGGAACACCGGAGGCGAAAGCGGUCCACUGGGUCCUAUCUGACGCUGAGGGACGAAAGCGUGGGGAGCAAACAGG